rnacentral:misc_RNA from 1 species
AACUGAUACUACCUGCGGGAACCUGCGGAGGGAUCAUUAUUGAAUAAACUUGGUUAGGUUGUUGCUGGCUCCUAGGAGCAUGUGCACGCCGACUCCAUUUUUAACCACCUGUGCACCUUGCGUAGAUCUGAUACUCUCGAGGAAACUCGGUUUGAGAAUUGCUGUGCGUCAGCCAGCUCUUCUUGUAAUCAGGUCUAUGUUUCUAUAUACCCCAUAUGAAUGUAUUCAGAAUGUCGUAAC